rnacentral:misc_RNA from 1 species
AAGUCGUAACAAGGUCUCCGUAGGUGAACCUGCGGAGGGAUCAUUACCGAGUUCAUGCCCUUCGGGGUAGACCUCCCACCCUGUGUUAUCAUUACCUUUGUUGCUUUGGCGGGCCGCUAGGCCUCGGCCCAGCUACCGGCUCCCGCUGGUAAGUGCCCGCCAGAGGACCCCAAACCCUGAAUAUUAGUGUCGUCCGAGUACUAUACAAUAGUUAAAACUUUCAACAACGGAUCUCUUGGUUCUG